ACAUGCCUACAUCAUAGAAUUAAUGCACUGAAUCUCCUUAGAACGUCGUAGUUAAGAGGGAUCGAGAUAGAGUAGUAUUGGGAUGGGUGACCACAUGGGAAGUCAUAUUGUUUUACAUGUC
rnacentral:rRNA from 1 species